rnacentral:rRNA from 1 species
AGAAAGCGGGAGCAAUCUCGCAAGUAAAGUGGCGUACGGGUGAGUAACACGUGGGUAAUCUACCUUCUGGUGGGGAAUAACCUUGGGAAACCGGGGAUAAUACCGCAUAAGCUCGAGAGAGGAAAGCAGCAAUGCGCCGGAAGAGGAGCCCGCGGCCGAUUAGCUAGUUGGCAGGGUAAAAGCCUACCAAGGCUGAGAUCGGUAGCCGGCCUGAGAGGGCACACGGCCACACUGGCACUGAAACACGGGCCAGACUCCUACGGGAGGCAGCAGUGGGGAAUCUUGCACAAUGGGGGAAACCCUGAUGCAGCGACGCCGCGUGAGCGAUGAAGCCCUUCGGGGUGUAAAGCUCUUUCGGCAGGGACGAUAAUGACGGUACCUGCAGAAGCAGCUGCGGCUAACUACGUGCCAGCAGCCGCGGUAAUACGUAGGCAGCAAGCGUUGUUCGGAGUUACUGGGCGUAAAGGGUGCGUAGGCGGUCCUUUAAGUUUGGUGUGAAAUCUCCCGGCUUAACUGGGAGGGUGCGCCGGAUACUGAGGGACUAGAGUGCGGGAGGGGAGAGUAGAAUUCCUGGUGUAGCGGUGAAAUGCGUAGAUAUCAGGAGGAAUACCGGUGGUGUAAACGGCUCUCUGGACCGUAACUGACGCUGAGGCACGAAAGCGUGGGUAGCAAACAGGAUUAGAUACCUGGUAGUCCACGCCCUAAACGAUGCAUGCUUGGUGCGGGUGAUUCAGUUCAUCUGUGCCGGAGCUAACGCGUUAAGCAUGCCGCCUGGGGAGUACAGUCGCAAGGCUGAAACUCAAAGGAAUUGACGGGGGC